UUGAGCCGGAUGCGGUGAAAGUCGCACGUCCGGUUCUGAGGGGGCCGGGGAUCAGCAAUGGUCUCCGGCUACCCGAC
rnacentral:ncRNA from 1 species